GGUUAAGCGACUAAGCGUACACGGUGGAUGCCCUGGCAGUCAGAGGCGAUGAAGGACGUGCUAAUCUGCGAUAAGCGUCGGUAAGGUGAUAUGAACCGUUAUAACCGGCGAUUUCCGAAUGGGGAAACCCAGUGUGUUUCGACACACUAUCAUUAACUGAAUCCAUAGGUUAAUGAGGCGAACCGGGGGAACUGAAACAUCUAAGUACCCCGAGGAAAAGAAAUCAACCGAGAUUCCCCCAGUAGCGGCGAGCGAACGGGGAGGAGCCCAGAGCCUGAAUCAGUGUGUGUGUCAGUGGAAGCGUCUGGAAAGGCGCGCGAUACAGGGUGACAGCCCCGUACACAAAAAUGCACAUGCUGUGAGCUCGAUGAGUAGGGCGGGACACGUGGUAUCCUGUCUGAAUAUGGGGGGACCAUCCUCCAAGGCUAAAUACUCCUGACUGACCGAUAGUGAACCAGUACCGUGAGGGAAAGGCGAAAAGAACCCCGGCGAGGGGAGUGAAAAAGAACCUGAAACCGUGUACGUACAAGCAGUGGGAGCAUGCUUAGGCGUGUGACUGCGUACCUUUUGUAUAAUGGGUCAGCGACUUAUAUUCUGUAGCAAGGUUAACCGAAUAGGGGAGCCGAAGGGAAACCGAGUCUUAACUGGGCGUUAAGUUGCAGGGUAUAGACCCGAAACCCGGUGAUCUAGCCAUGGGCAGGUUGAAGGUUGGGUAACACUAACUGGAGGACCGAACCGACUAAUGUUGAAAAAUUAGCGGAUGACUUGUGGCUGGGGGUGAAAGGCCAAUCAAACCGGGAGAUAGCUGGUUCUCCCCGAAAGCUAUUUAGGUAGCGCCUCGUGAACUCAUCUCCGGGGGUAGAGCACUGUUUCGGCAAGGGGGGCAUCCCGACUUACCAACCCGAUGCAAACUGCGAAUACCGGAGAAUGUUAUCACGGGAGACACACGGCGGGUGCUAACGUCCGUCGUGAAGAGGGAAACAACCCAGACCGCCAGCUAAGGUCCCAAAGUCAUGGUUAAGUGGGAAACGAUGUGGGAAGGCCCAGACAGCCAGGAUGUUGGCUUAGAAGCAGCCAUCAUUUAAAGAAAGCGUAAUAGCUCACUGGUCGAGUCGGCCUGCGCGGAAGAUGUAACGGGGCUAAACCAUGCACCGAAGCUGCGGCAGCGACGCUUAUGCGUUGUUGGGUAGGGGAGCGUUCUGUAAGCCUG
rnacentral:rRNA from 1 species